rnacentral:rRNA from 1 species
AGAACGAACGCUGGCGGCAGGCUUAACACAUGCAAGUCGAGCGCCCCGCAAGGGGAGCGGCAGACGGGUGAGUAACGCGUGGGAACGUACCCCUCGGUUCGGAAUAGCUCAGGGAAACUUGGAUUAAUACCGGAUACGGCCUAGCGGCGAAAGAUUCAUCGCCGGAGGAUUGGCCCGCGUUCGAUUAGCUAGUUGGUGAGGUAACGGCUCACCAAGGCGACGAUCGAUAGCUGGUCUGAGAGGAUGAUCAGCCACAUUGGGACUGAGACACGGCCCAAACUCCUACGGGAGGCAGCAGUGGGGAAUAUUGGACAAUGGGCGCAAGCCUGAUCCAGCCAUGCCGCGUGAGUGAUGACGGCCUUAGGGUUGUAAAGCUCUUUCGCUAGGGACGAUAAUGACGGUACCUAGACAAGAAGCCCCGGCUAACUUCGUGCCAGCAGCCGC